AUUGAACGCUGGCGGCAUGCCUUACACAUGCAAGUCGAACGGCAGCACGGGAGCAAUCCUGGUGGCGAGUGGCGAACGGGUGAGUAAUGCAUCGGAACGUGCCCAUUUGUGGGGAGAUAACUACGCGAAAGCGUGGCUAAUACCGCAUACGCCCUGAGGGGGGAAAGCGGGGGAUUCUUCGGAACCUCGCGCAAUUGGAGCGGCCGAUGUCAGAUUAGCUUGUUGGUGAGGUAAAGGGCUCACCAAGGCGACGAUCUGUAGCGGGUCUGAGAGGAUGAUCCGGCCACACUGGGACUGAGACACGGCCCAGACUCCUACGGGAGGCAGCAGUGGGGAAUUUGGACAAUGGGGGCAACCCUGAUCCUAGCCAUGCCGCGUGAGUGAAG
rnacentral:rRNA from 1 species